GCAGUGCGCCACUCCACGAACAUGGCGGCUGUACAUUCAAAAAGGAGGAAUUUUUUCCCGUAGGCUCGCGGUGCGGCAGUGUGGAGACCUGUCGUAAUGCGCACCGUUCUAUACGGACGUGCGUGAGGCUGUUUCGGCGGAGGCCGGGCGGUCAGAGUCGGCAACAU
rnacentral:ncRNA from 1 species